rnacentral:rRNA from 1 species
CGCCUCCUGAAAAAUCGUAGGAGGUCCAGCCUGCCCAGUGACAAAGUUAAACGGCCGCGGUACCCUAACCGUGCGAAGGUAGCACAAUCACUUGUUCUUUAAAUGAGGACUAGUAUGAAUGGCAUCACGAGGGUUACACUGUCUCCCCUGUUUAAUCAGUGAAACUGAUCUCCCCGUGAAGAAGCGGGAAUAAAAUUAUAAGACGAGAAGACCCCAUGGAGCUUUAAACUCAGCAUCAACUGUUUCAUGAUAAGUCAAAGUAAUUUAACAGAAAUGACUGCUAGUUUUCGGUUGGGGUGACCGCGGAGAAAAACAAAACCUCCACGAUGAACGGACCUUAUAUCCUUAUCUAAGAGCUACUGCUCUAAGAAUCAAAAAAUUGACAAAAAUUGAUCCAAGUAUUCUUGAUCAACGAACCAAGUUACCCUGGGGAUAACAGCGCAAUCCAUUUCAAGAGCUCCUAUCGACAAAUGGGUUUACGACCUCGAUGUUGGAUCAGGGUGUCCCAGUGGUGCAGCCGCUACUAAAGGUUCGUUUGUUCAACGAUUAAAACCCU